rnacentral:rRNA from 1 species
GGGGGUGGCUUCCAUCUGGAAGGAAUCUGGAGACAGGUGGCUGCAUGGCUGUCGUCAGCUCGUGUCGUGAGAUGUUGGGUUAAGUCCCGCAACGAGCGCAACCCUUGCCUUUAGUUGCCAGCAGUUCGGCUGGGCACCCUAAAGGGACUGCCGGUGUUAAACCGGAGGAAGGUGGGGAGUGACGUCAAGUCCUCAUGGCCUUUAUGACCAGGGCUACACACGUGCUACAAUGGCCGAUACAAAGGGCAGCGACACUGCGAGGUGAAGCCAAUCCCGUAAAAUCGGUCUCAGUCCGGAUUGGAGUCUGCAACUCGACUCCAUGAAGUUGGAAUCGCUAGUAAUCGUGGAUCAGCAUGCCACGGUGAAUACGUUCCCGGGCCUU